CCUACGGGUGGCUGCAGUGGGGAAUAGUGCACAAUGGGGGAAACCCUGAUGCAGCGACGCCGCGUGAGUGAAGAAGUAUUUCGGUAUGUAAAGCUCUAUCAGCAGGGAAGAAAAGGACGGUACCUGAGGAAGAAGCCCCGGCUAACUACGUGCCAGCAGCCGCGGUAAUACGUAGGGGGCAAGCGUUAUCCGGAUUGACUGGGUGUAAAGGGAGCGUAGACGGCAGCGCAAGUCUGAAGUGAAAUGCCGGGGCUUAACCCCGGAACUGCUUUGGAAACUGUGCAGCUAGAGUGCAGGAGAGGUAAGUGGACUUCCUAGUGUAGCGGUGACAUGCGUCGAUAUUAGGAGGAACCCCAGUGGCGAAUGCGGCUUACUGGACUGUACCUGACGUUGCGGCUCGAAAGCGUGGGGAGCAAACAGGAUUAGAUACCCGAGUAGUC
rnacentral:rRNA from 1 species